UACAGAGGGUGCGAGCGUUAAUCGGAAUUACUGGGCGUAAAGCGUUCGUAGGUGGAUCAUUAAGUCAGUCGUAAAAUACCCGGGCUCAACCUGGGGAGGUCGAUUGAAACUGGUGAUUUAGAGUAUGGGAGAGGGUAGAGGAAUUUCUGGUGUAGCGGUGAAAUGCGUAGAUAUCAGAAGGAACAUCAGUGGCGAAGGCGUCUACCUGGCCCGAUACUGACACUGAGGAACGAAAGCGUGGGUAGCAAACAGG
rnacentral:rRNA from 1 species